rnacentral:tRNA from 1 species
GCAUUGGUGGGUCAGGGGUAGAAUUCUUGCCUUCCAUGCAGGAGCCAUGGGUUUGAUUUCCAGCCGAUGCA